rnacentral:tRNA from 1 species
UUAAUUAAAACCAAAAAGAGGUCUAUCACCGUUAAUGAUAUCAAUGAAUUCGUAAUUCUAAUUAAA